rnacentral:SRP_RNA from 1 species
GCUGAGCAUUGUGACAUGUGCCUGUAGUCCCAGCUACUCAAGAGGCGAGGCAGGAGGAUCACUUGAGCCUAGGAGUUCUGGGCUGUAGCAUGCUCUGCUAAUUGGGUGUCCAUACUAAGUUUGGCAUCAAUAUAAUGACCUCUCCAAGCAGGGACCACCAAGUUGCCUAAGUAGGGGUGAAACGGCCAAGGUCAGAAACAGAACAAGUCAAAAUUCCCAUGCUGAUCAGCAGUGGGAUCAUACCUGUGAAUAGCCACUGCACUCCAGCGUGGGAGACAUAGUGAGACCCCAUCUCU